rnacentral:rRNA from 1 species
GUGAACGCUGGCGGUAGGCCUAACACAUGCCAGUCGAACGGCAGCACAGUAAGAGCUUGCUCUUACGGGUGGCGAGUGGCGGACGGGUGAGGAAUACAUCGGAAUCUACUUUUUCGUGGGGGAUAACGUAGGGAAACUUACGCUAAUACCGCAUACGACCUACGGGUGAAAGCAGGGGAUCUUCGGACCUUGCGCGAUUGAAUGGGCCGAUGUCGGAUUAGCUAGUUGGCGGGGUAAAGGCCCACCAAGGCGACGAUCCGUAGCUGGUCUGAGAGGAUGAUCAGCCACACUGGAACUGAGACACGGUCCAGACUCCUACGGGAGGCAGCAGUGGGGAAUAUUGGACAAUGGGCGCAAGCCUGAUCCAGCCAUACCGCGUGGGUGAAGAAGGCCUUCGGGUUGUAAAGCCCUUUUGUUGGGAAAGAAAAGCAGCAGGUUAAUACCCCGCUGUUCUGACGGUACCCAAAGAAUAAGCACCGGCUAACUUCGUG